rnacentral:rRNA from 1 species
GACGAACGCUGGCGGCGUGCCUAAUACAUGCAAGUAGAACGCUGAAGCUUGGUGCUUGCACCGAGCGGAUGAGUUGCGAACGGGUGAGUAACGCGUAGGUAACCUGCCUGGUAGCGGGGGAUAACUAUUGGAAACGAUAGCUAAUACCGCAUAAGAGUAGAUGUUGCAUGACAUUUGCUUAAAAGGUGCAAUUGCAUCACUACCAGAUGGACCUGCGUUGUAUUAGCUAGUUGGUGAGGUAACGGCUCACCAAGGCAACGAUACAUAGCCGACCUGAGAGGGUGAUCGGCCACACUGGGACGGAGACACGGCCCAGACUCCUACGGGAGGCAGCAGUAGGGAAUCUUCGGCAAUGGACGGAAGUCUGACCGAGCAACGCCGCGUGAGUGAAGAAGGGUUUCGGAUCGUAAAGCUCUGUUGUAAGAGAAGAACGAGUGUGAGAGUGGAAAGUUCACACUGUGACGGUAUCUUACCAGAAAGGGACGGCUAACUACGUG